rnacentral:rRNA from 1 species
GAAACCAACAGGGAUUGCCCCAGUAACGGCGAGUGAAGCGGCAACAGCUCAAAUUUGAAAUCUGGCCCUCGGGUCCGAGUUGUAAUUUGUAGAGGAUGCUUUUGGCGAGGUGCCUUCCGAGUUCCCUGGAACGGGACGCCAUAGAGGGUGAGAGCCCCGUCUGGUCGGACACCGAGCCUCUGUAAAGCUCCUUCGACGAGUCGAGUAGUUUGGGAAUGCUGCUCAAAAUGGGAGGUAUAUGUCUUCUAAAGCUAAAUAUUGGCCAGAGACCGAUAGCGCACAAGUAGAGUGAUCGAAAGAUGAAAAGCACUUUGAAAAGAGGGUUAAAAAGUACGUGAAAUUGUUGAAAGGGAAGCGCUUAUGACCAGACUUGCGCCCGGUGAAUCAUCCAGCGUUCUCGCUGGUGCACUUUGCCGGGCACAGGCCAGCAUCAGUUUGGCGCGGGGGAAAAAGGCUUCGGGAAUGUGGCUCCCUCGGGAGUGUUAUAGCCCGCUGCGUAAUACCCUGCGCCGGACUGAGGUACGCGCAUCGCAAGGAUGCUGGCGUAAUGGUCAUCAGCGACCCGUCUUGAAACACGGACCAAGGAGUCGUCUUCGUAUGCGAGUGUUCGGGUGUCAAACCCCUACGCGUAAUGAAAGUGAACGUAGGUGAGAGCUUCGGCGCAUCAUCGACCGAUCCUGAUGUUCUCGGAUGGAUUUGAGUAAGAGCAUACGGGGCCGGACCCGAAAGAAGGUGAACUAUGCCUGUAUAGGGUGAAGCCAGAGGAAACUCUGGUGGAGGCUCGCAGCGGUUCUGACGUGCGAAUCGAUCGUCAAAUAUGGGCAUGGGGGCGAAAGACUAAUCGAACCUUCUAGUAGCUGGUUUCCGCCGA